rnacentral:rRNA from 1 species
UACGAAGGUGGCAAGCGUUGUUCGGAUUUACUGGGCGUACAGGGAGCGUAGGCGGUUGGAUAAGCCCUCCGUGAAAUCCCCCGGCUUAACCUGGGAACUGCGUCUGAUACUGGGAGGCUUGAGUAUGGGAGAGGGAUGUAGAAUUCCAGGUGUAGCGGUGAAAUGCGUAGAUAUCUGGAGGAAUACCGGUGGCGAAGGCGGCAUCCUGGACCAUAACUGACGCUGAGGCGCGAAAGCUAGGGGAGCAAACGGG